GAAUCAGAAAACACUUCAGCUUCUAGCUUUCCAGAUGGAAACGUACAGAUCAAAGAGCAAUCUCCGUUUUGGGGGUUGAGCUAUAUCAUAAGCAAUCAUCCGCAACUUUGAACGCCAUAUGCCCGUCGUCGUCGUCUAUCAGUAAGAGAGUCAGAUGACGACCGAUCUCUCAGGGAAGAUACUGUAUCAUCGUCGGUACUACUAAAAUAUCUUAGUACGUGUGAUGUCGAGUCAUUUGAAGCAUGAAUUGAUUUAGAUCUCGAUGCCCGUCAUCCAGUGAAUGUUGGUAAAGGCAGCAUAAAUACUGUUGUACUGCGAAGAAAGUUUGCUCUAGGAGGAAACGGCACGCAGGUCUUUGAAGUAUGAAGCAGAGAAAUGGAGCAGUACACAUUGAGCAGCCUAUGAUGUACGUACAUAGACCUAUCAUGAUGCUUCGAUAUACGGACCUGAUGAUACUUUGGACGCUGGCACAGGGUUUCGGUUACUUACGCCGAGGCAAGGCAUAUGAAACGAGAUACGCAACUGCCAUGCUGAUUACUCCUACACAUUUUAAACUUUCCACAUGUUCAUACUUCAGUCUCCACGAGAUAUAGGUUUAUGUUGUAAGCGAAUCCCUAGCCCAUAGACUUUCGGUCCGUCCGGAUUUUCCCUCGUCUGCUGAGACAGGGAAGAUCUACGAAAAGCAAAUCUACUCCGUAUUUGGGAAAUUCGGAUCUUCGUUUCUUUUCCUUUUCGGCAAGAUUCAUGGAUCGUCAUAUAUCAUGAACCUGGUCUAUGU
rnacentral:lncRNA from 1 species